GUGAGUUAUUACAUAUGCAGAGGGCGGGUGCCUGUGAAAUCCGUCGCCUGGAGAUCUCACCUUGGGAGGCGGCUUGUUCUGCUGGCACACCUGAGCAAGGACAUUUCAGAACAGCUGGGACGGGCUCUGACACCCUCACAUCCCAUGGCCGCCCUCAUCUUCAUCCAUGAUCUCCCCUCAUGGCCGCCCUCGUCUCCUCCAUGAUCUCCCCUCAUGGCCUCCCUCAUCUUCAUCCAUGAUCUCCCCUCAUGGCUGCCCCUCACGUGGCCACCGUUCCGCUGUCCUGAUGGUCACUGACCCCUCAUCCCUCAUGGCCACCCCUCAUCUCCCCUCAUGGUCACUGACCUCUCAUCCCUCAUGGCCACCCCUCAUCAUCGCCAUGGUCUCCCCUCACGGCUGCCCCUCACAACCAUGGACAUCCCUCACAUCCCCUCAUGACUUCCCUUCAGGAUCUGCUCCAUGAUCUCCCCUCAUCUCCUCCAUGAUCUUCUCUCGUGGACACCCCUCAUCUCCUCCAUGAUCUCCCCUCACGGCUGCCUCUCACAACCAUGGAUGCUCCUCAUGUCCACCAUGAUCUCCCCUCAUGGACAUCCCUCAUCUACUCCAUGAUCUCCCCCCUGAUCUCCCCCAUGAUGUCCCCUCACAAACACGGACACCUCCAUGAUCUCCCCCAUGAUGUCCCCUCACAAACACGGACACCUCCAUGAUCUCCCCCAUGAUGUCCCCUCACAAACAUGGACACUCCUGAUCUCCCCCACGAUCCCCCCUCAUCUCCUCCAUGAUCUCCCCUCACAAACAUGGACACUCCUGAUCUCCUCCAUGAUCUCCCCUCACAAACACGGAAACCCUCAUGAUCUCCCCCCUGAUCUCCCCCAUGAUGUCCCCUCACAAACACGGACACUCCUGAUCUCCCCCAUGAUCUCCCCUCAUCCACCCCCAUGAUGUCCCCUCACAAACAUGGACACCCCCAUGAUCUCCCCCAUGAUCUCCCCCAUUAUCUCCCCCAUGAUGUCCCCUCACAAACAUGGACACCCCCAUGAUCUCCCCCAUGAUCUCCCCCAUGAUCUCCCCCAUGAUGUCCCCUCACAAACACGGGCACCCCCAUGAUCUCCCCCCGAUCUCCCCUCACAAACCGGGGCACCUCCAUGAUCUCCCCCAUGAUCUCCCCUCACAAACACGGACACCCCUGAUCUCCCCCAUGAUCUCCCCCAUGAUCUCCCCUCACAAACACGGACACUCCUGAUCUCCCCCAUGAUGUCCCCUCACAAACCGGGGCACCCCCGUGAUCUCCCCCAUGAUCUCCCCUCACAAACACGGACACCCCUGAUCUCCCCCAUGAUCUCCCCUCACAAACACGGACACCCCUGAUCUCCCCCAUGAUCUCCCCCAUGAUCUCCCCUCAUCCUCCCCCAUGAUGUCCCCUCACAAACAUGGACACCCCCAUGAUCUCCCCCACGGACACCCCCUCAUCUCCUCCAUGAUCUCCCCCAUGAUCUCCCCUCACAAACAUGGAAACGCUCAUGAUCUCCCCCCUGAUCUCCCCCCCAUGAUCUCCCCUCACAAACACGGGCACCUCCAUGAUCUCCCCCAUGAUCUCCCCUCACAAACAUGGAAACCCUCAUGAUCUCCCCCCUGAUCUCCCCCAUGAUCUCCCCUCACAAACACGGGCACCCCCAUGAUCUCCCCCAUGAUCUCCCCUCAUCCUCCCCCAUGAUGUCCCCUCACAAACACGGACACCCCCAUGAUCUCCCCCCUCAUCUCCCCUCACAAACAUGGAAACCCCCAUGAUCUCCCCUCACAAACACGGACACUCCUGAUCUCCCCCAUGAUCUCCCCUCACAAACAUGGAAACCCUCAUGAUCUCCCCCCUGAUCUCCCCCAUGAUGUCCCCUCACAAACACGGGCACCCCCAUGAUCUCCCCCAUGAUCUCCCCUCACAAACCGGGGCACCUCCAUGAUCUCCCCCAUGAUCUCCCCUCACAAACAUGGACACCCCCAUGAUCUCCCCCAUGAUCUCCCCCCGAUCUCCCCCACGGACACCCCCUCAUCUCCUCCCUGAUCUCCCCCCGAUCUCCCCUCACAAACACGGGCACCUCCAUGAUCUCCCCCCUGAUCUCCCCUCACAAACAUGGAAACCCUCAUGAUCUCCCCCCUGAUCUCCCCCAUGAUCUCCCCUCACAAACCGGGGCACCCCCAUGAUCUCCCCCAUGAUGUCCCCUCACAAACACGGACACUCCUGAUCUCCCCCAUGAUGUCCCCUCACAAACAUGGACACUCCUGAUCUCCCCCACGAUCCCCCCUCAUCUCCUCCAUGAUGUCCCCUCACAAACACGGACACUCCUGAUCUCCCCCAUGAUCUCCCCUCAUCCUCCCCCCGAUCUCCCCUCACAAACACGGGCACCUCCAUGAUCUCCCCCCUGAUCUCCCCUCACAAACAUGGAAACCCUCAUGAUCUCCCCCAUGAUCUCCCCCAUGAUGUCCCCUCACAAACCGGGGCACCCCCAUGAUCUCCCCCCCUGAUCUCCCCCCCGAUCUCCCCCAUGAUCUCCCC
ensembl:lncRNA